GGCUGAGCAAUUGCCCUCGAGAAAAGCCGGGACUUUUAAAUGACCGUUAACCAAUCGGAAGCGGGAUCCCCCUAUCGUCAUUGAUGACGUAUCGGGAUGAUCCCGCGUCACGUGUGACGUGCCAUGUUGGUUAACGGUCAUUUAAAAGUCCCGGCUUUUCUCGAGGGCAAUUGCUCAGCUCCUGACGAAGGUGUUAUUACACACCGAAACGCGCAUCGGGCGAUAGCUCGUCGUUCUUUUUCACUCCACCUAUGCACUAAGGGACACUUUGUUGCACU